AAUGCAAAACUGGGAUCUUCUGUGUCUUUUCUUCAGAUUAUUCCAAAUCUAAUCAAGAGCAAAAGCUACAGCAGCACAUCAACAAAACAGUGUUUGUGGGGGAAACAGUUACACUUCACUGCAACAAAACCAAAUUAGAUGACGAUUUCACAUGGAAAAUGAACAACUCAGUUAUUUUUAGGCAGGUCUCUGAUAUUAACAUAACUAAGACAAACUUCAGCUCAAACAGGAUUCACAUCGACCCAGCAGCUCCAAGAGAGUUAACAAUACAACAAAUACAAGCGUCUGAUGCAGGAAACUACAGCUGUUACCCAGGAGCAAUAAGAUGGACAUUAACAAUAACAGAAAUCAAGAUCAGACCAGAAUCUCUCAAACAAAUGUCGCUGUACAUCAUCAUCUUUUCAUUUUCUGGAGUCAUUAUUAUCUGUUUAAUUAUCACAAGCAGCAUCUGCAUUUACAGGAAACUGAGACAGAAGAUCAACUCAGGUUCAGAGGAUGUGAAGAUGACUUCUGACUGUGACAAACACACAAUAACAGUCUGUGUCUAUAGUCUUCAUACAGUUUCAUGAGCAUCUUUUCUUCUGAGGACAGCAGAUGAGCAUCUCAGUACAGAAAGAUGUUUGAGAACGAGACCAUGAUGGUCACAGACUUUUUUUUAGCUUCAAGCCAUGAAUCCAUCCAGUCGGAGGAUUUUUAAACACGAUUGAUAUUUUAAAUUGAUUUUAUAACUUUAUAACUGAACUAAUUGUGUAUCCUCCAGUUGUUUGUUGUGUUUUCCCUGUAAUUAUCUACAAAGUCAUCAAAUGUAUGAAGGCUAGUGUUUUAAAAUCUGAUCAGUUUCAUAUAGCAGAGGAACACACUUUUAUCAAACACUCAGACGCUUCGUCCUUUAAUCUUGAGUCUGUGUACAAAUCUUUCUGUUAUCCCUUUGACUUGACCUUUCAAAUAAUUUACAUCAUUUAUGUAGACACAAAUGUAAAGAUUA